rnacentral:ribozyme from 1 species
ACAGAAAGAGAGAAUGAAAGCAAACAGAAGAACAGACGAUUAGACACAGAAACGAAAGAAAACACGAGUUGUUGAGUUCAGCUUGCGGAAACACGUUUUUUUUUUUUUUUUUUUUUUUUUCAUUCAAUUCAUU